rnacentral:rRNA from 1 species
UACGUAGGGUGCAAACGUUGUUCGGAAUUACUGGGCGUAAAGCGCGUGUAGGCUGCUCUGUGUGUCGGAUGUGAAAGCCCCGGGCUCAACCUGGGAAGUGCACUCGAAACUACAGAGCUGGAGUCUCGGAGAGGAUCGCGGAAUUCUCGGUGUAGAGGUGAAAUUCGUAGAUAUCGAGAGGAACACCAAUAGCGAAGGCAGCUCGCUGGGACGGUAUUGACGCUAAGGCGCGAAAACGUGGGGAGCAAACAGG